rnacentral:rRNA from 1 species
AUUGAACGCUGGCGGCAGGCCUAACACAUGCAAGUCGAACGGUAACAGGAAGAAGCUUGCUUCUUUGCUGACGAGUGGCGGACGGGUGAGUAAUGUCUGGGAAACUGCCUGAUGGAGGGGGAUAACUACUGGAAACGGUAGCUAAUACCGCAUAACGUCGCAAGACCAAAGAGGGGGACCUUCGGGCCUCUUGCCAUCGGAUGUGCCCAGAUGGGAUUAGCUUGUUGGUGGGGUAACGGCUCACCAAGGCGACGAUCCCUAGCUGGUCUGAGAGGAUGACCAGCCACACUGGAACUGAGACACGGUCCAGACUCCUACGGGAGGCAGCAGUGGGGAAUAUUGCACAAUGGGCGCAAGCCUGAUGCAGCCAUGCCGCGUGUAUGAAGAAGGCCUUCGGGUUGUAAAGUACUUUCAGCGGGGAGGAAGGGAGUAAAGUUAAUACCUUUGCUCAUCGACGUUACCCGCAGAAGAAGCACCGGCUAACUCCGUG